UUUUUUAUUUUAAGUCGUAUUCUUUGCUUUUUUGUUUUGAAAAAUUUGUCAUCAUCUUUCUCCACGAUGCAUGUUGUUCUUGUUGUAACCACAUUUGUAUGUGGAGUUGGCGAUUCUCGUCCAGCUCCAUAUGUGUGCACAAUCGUUCCGGACCAAAGGAACGAUCGCCGCGGAAACGUUUUGGCCAUUGGUUAUUUAAAGGCGCCAAUAACUCGCCUCGUCAUAUCGAUUAUCGUGGGCUCUCAGUUGAGCUUUUCGUAAUGACGAUGAACACUACACAAAUCGAAACUGAGAUUUCCAACCCGUGUAGUGCACACAGACCUCCCGUGCCGGAUUUUGUAGAACAGUACGUUGUUGGCAAGGGGACUGGGCAACCCUGAAAUGACAAGCAUGUGAAAUUUUUGCUGCUCCGGAGAAAAUUGUUUGAAAUUUAAUUAAAAUUAAAAAAGUAAAAAUCGAGUAAUUGCCUGAUUGCAUUGUAACCUGCUGAUCGCUUGCCUAUUGUUUAUUUGCAUGCUUUUAUGUGACAGAAGUGCAUUAUUAACUGACUGGAUUUGAGUGAGUUGAGCUCCUUAUAAGUAUAUUUGAGAAAUGUAUUUGCUGCCUUUGAGUAUAUUGCUGUUUGGUUGCUCCUUCACCUUUUGAUACUCACUGCCCUGUUGCUGCUGGUGUCUUAUUUGUACAGAGCUGAGUUGUAUUGCUGUCAAUAUGGCGCCCAAGAGAAGAACAUAUAAAUGCCCAAAACGCACCAUGAAUGUUACUGGAAAUAGUAUUGGGUACAGUGUUUGUGGAGAUUUUUUCCACAUAGCAUGUCUUAAGUGCACCAAGUGUUAAUUGCCUUCGUUGGAUGUUGAUAUUGUUGCCAAUGAUCUUAGCAGUACGACUACUGCUGCAGUGACGGAUAAACGCGUAAUGAGCUGGAAACCUGCUGCUCUUAAUUGAGAAAUUCUGGAGAUGCAAACCAACGAAAGUUUCGCGUUGAAUAGCUGGAACAAGUAAAUGUUUUUCAAACUAAAAUAAGCGGAUAAGGAGGUUCGAGAUGAGUUUAACUAAGUGAAUUGGAGGAUGAGCUCAAGAAUAAUCACGAUAUAAUCAAACAUUUAGAGACUAAUCGUAGUAAUGAGACUCGUAAUUUACAAAUUAAAUUAUAUAUAAGGCAGAGAA